rnacentral:rRNA from 1 species
GUCGUAACAAGGUUUCCGUAGGUGAACCUGCGGAAGGAUCAUUACAGAGUUCAUGCCCUCACGGGUAGAUCUCCCACCCUUGAAUAUACUACCUUUGUUGCUUUGGCGGGCCGCCUUGUCCACUGGCUUCGGCUAGUGUGUGCCCGCCAGAGAACCCUAAACUCUGAAUUAACAUGUCGUCUGAGUACUAUAUAAUAGUUAAAACUUUCAACAACGGAUCUCUUGGUUCUGGCAUCGAUGAAGAACGCAGCGAAAUGCGAUAAGUAAUGUGAAUUGCAGAAUUCAGUGAAUCAUCGAAUCUUUGAACGCACAUUGCGCCCCUUGGUAUUCCGGGGGGCAUGCCUGUUCGAGCGUCAUUAUAACCCUCAAGCCUAGCUUGGUGUUGGGGCAUGCCUUUAGGCAGCUCUUAAAGUCAGUGGCAGUGCCUUCCGGCUCUAAGCGUAGUAAUUUCUCUCGCUACAGGGCCCGGUAGGUUACGCGCCAAAACCCCUAAUUUUCUAUGGUUGACCUCGGAUCAGGUAGGGAUACCCGCUGAACUUAAGCAUAUCAAUAAGCGGAGGAAAAGAAACCAACAGGGAUUGCCUCAGUAACGGCGAGUGAAGCGGCAACAGCUCAAAUUUGAAAUCUGGCUCUUUCAGGGUCCGAGUUGUAAUUUGUAGAAGUUGCUUUGGGUGUGGCUCCGGUCUAAGUUCCUUGGAACAGGACGUCAUAGAGGGUGAGAAUCCCGUAUGUGACUGGUCGCCUUCGCCCGUGUAAAGCUCUUUCGACGAGUCGAGUUGUUUGGGAAUGCAGCUCAAAAUGGGUGGUAAAUUUCAUCUAAAGCUAAAUAUUGGCCAGAGACCGAUAGCGCACAAGUAGAGUGAUCGAAUGAUGAAAAGCACUUUGGAAAGAGAGUUAAACAGUACGUGAAAUUGUUGAAAGGGAAGCGCUUGCAACCAGACUUGCACGCGGUUGAUCAUCUAGUGUUCUCACUGGUGCACUCUGCCGCGUUCAGGCCAGCAUCGGUUUCGGUGGUUGGAUAAAGGCCUAAGGAAUGUAGCCCCUCUCGGGGAGUGUUAUAGCCCUAGGUGCAAUGCAGCCUACCGGGACCGAGGACCGCGCUUCGGCUAGGAUGCUGGCGUAAUGGUUGUAAGCGACC